UGCGUAGGUGGUCGUUUAAGUCUGUUGUGAAAGCCCUGGGCUCAACCUGGGAACUGCAGUGGAAACUGGACGACUAGAGUGUGGUAGAGGGUAGCGGAAUUCCUGGUGUAGCAGUGAAAUGCGUAGAGAUCAGGAGGAACAUCCAUGGCGAAGGCAGCUACCUGGACCAACACUGACACUGGGGCACGAAAGCGUGGGGAGCAAACA
rnacentral:rRNA from 1 species